CACGGUUCACAGCUCAGUAACACGUGGCUAACCUGCCCUUGGGACGGGAACACCCCGGGAAACUGGGGCUAAGUCUCGAUAGGCGAAAAUCUCUGGAAUGAGUUUCCACCUAAAGGGUGCUGCGUUAUGCUCGCAGUUUCGCCCAAGGAUGGGGCCGCGGCCGAUCAGGUUGUUGGUGAGGUAAUGGCUCACCAAGCCUUUUACCGGUGCGGGCCGUGGGAGCGGGAACCCGGAGAUGGGCACUGAGACAAGGGCCCAGGUCCUACGGGGCGCAGCAGUCGCGAAAACUUUGCAAUAAGCGAAAGCUUGACAGGGCUAUCCCGAGUGCCAUCCGCUGAGGAAGGCUUUUACCCAGUCUAGAACGCUGGGGGAAUAAGGAGAGGGCAAGUCUGGUGUCAGCCGCCGCGGUAAUACCAGCUCUCCGAGUGGUGUGGAUGUUUAUUGGGCCUAAAGCAUCCGUAGCUGGCUGGGCAAGUCCCCUGUUAAAUCCACCGAAUUAAUCGUUGGUUUGCGGGGGAUACUGCUUAGCUAGGGGACGAGAGAGGCAGACGGUAUUUUCGGGGUAGGGGUGAAAUCCUAUAAUCCCGGGAAGACCACCAGUGGCGAAGGCUGUCUGCUAGAACGCGCCCGACGGUGAGGGAUGAAAGCUGGGGGAGCGAACCGGAUUAGAUACCCGGGUAGUCCCAGCUGUAAACGAUGCAGGCUAGGUGUUUGGACGGCCACGUGCCGUUCUAGUGCCGCAGGGAAGCUGUUAAGCCUGCCGCCUGGGGAGUACGAUCGCAAGGCUGAACUUAAAGGCCA
rnacentral:rRNA from 1 species